rnacentral:rRNA from 1 species
CGCGUAGGCAACCUACCUUUAAGUUCGGAAUAAUCUCGGGAAACUGGGACUAAUACCAAAUAAGGUAUUUACACCUAAGUGUAAAUAUUAAAGCGGCUUCGGCCGCGCUUUUAGAUGGGCCUGCGUCUGAUUAGCUUGUUGGUGAGGUAAUGGCUUACCAAGGCUACGAUCAGUAGCUGGUCUGAGAGGAUGAUCAGCCACACUGGGACUGAGAUACGGCCCAGACUCC